rnacentral:lncRNA from 1 species
AGAAACACACCCGUUUAAUAUCCCCUUGAAGAUCUGGAAUAGCCGAAUACCGAUCCUCCAUAACUCCACCUAAACCGAAUACCCCUCACUUUCCACCUCCACCUCACUCAACCUAUCAACAUCCUUAUCUUCGUCCAUCUUAAUAUUUUCAAAACCCAUAUUCAAUAUUGGAAUUUCAAUCCUUGCCGGCUGUUUCUGGUUCAAAGCCAUCACCUUCGAUGACCCAUCUUCAUCUUUAUUGUUGAAUGGUUAUUUGAUAGCUAAAGCCAAUAGUGAAAACGACAGCGGAGGAGGAGAGGUGACGAUCUUGCAGAAAAUGGGCCAUACAUUUUUUAAGGACGGAUUAAACAUGGGAGAGUUUGAUGUUGCCGCUAUAGCGCAAGGUAUAACUGCUAAUUCUUCUCUUCGUUAAUUCAAAACCAAUUUUUUGAUGGAGUGGAAGGGCUUGGACUAUUUGCAAACUGCUGAUUUUUCUUCUCUUUGUUAAAUCAAAACCAAUUUUUCUUGUCCUUCACCGUUCGAGUGCGCGAGAACCUGCUUCUCAUACUCUUUUAGUCAUUUUUAAGUAUUUCAAGGUAAGCCCACUGGUCUGGACACCUUUCGAAGAUUUUUGAUCCAUAAUGAUAUAGAUAUCCUUAUCCUCAUCCUCAUCCUCGUACUGGAAUGACAAUGGUGUCGUUAUGAUUUCAACAUUUCGACACAACACUAUCCAGUGUAAAUUACGAUCUCGAGCGAAACCUUAAUCUGGCUCCGAAAAAUAAUACAUCGCAAACGGUUUCAAAUGUAGUAAAUGAAGUAGGAACACCUAUCGUCGAAUGAAUUAACACCGUUUACUUGUUCUUCACCGUAUGAGUAUCGUGACCCUUUUAGUCAUUUCAAGUAUUCCUAGGCGCAUCUACUGGUCUUGGGUGCAUCUUGAAAUGUUUUGAGCCAUGAUUUAAUUGAAUGUCAUUGAUUUAAUACAUCUACACACAUGUGCAACUUCAUAAAGAUAUAAGCUUAGUAUUACUCAAUAUAGAUUAAAAAAAUAAUUGAUAUUUAAUUAUCAAAAUUUUAGUCAUCGUCUUGAACUAUUGUUGAAAUGGAUUAAUAAAGGGGGAUUCAAAAUUUCAGUGCUUGUCGUUAAUAUAAUUGGUGAAUUAAUCGUCAAGAUUAAACAAGUAUUGUCAUUGUCUUGAAUUGUUGUUGAAAUUGAUUAAUAGAGGGGGAUUCAAAUUUCUAGAGCUUGUCAUUAAUUGAGUUUAUAGAUGUCUCUUAGUUGUUCAUUCGUUUAGUUUUCAGAUAACUAGUUAUAAAACC